rnacentral:ncRNA from 1 species
CCCGAAAAAGGCUAAAUCCUGUUGAAAAACGGGAGGCAGAAAGCUACGGGUCUAAAGCAAGUUUCCUGAUACGCUUUACUCGGAACUGGAAUUGUAAAGCGUCUUCAAGCUAGCAAGUGAUGUUGAAUAGCUUGACAUGAUAGCCAGGCUAUCGAA